GCAGCGGUGGCAGAGCGGUCCAAUGCGCACGCCUGGAAAGCGUGUUCCUGAAAGGGAGCGCGAGUUCGAAUCUCGUCCGCUGCG
rnacentral:tRNA from 1 species